UACGGAGGGUGCAAGCGUUAUCCGGAUUCACUGGGUUUAAAGGGUGCGUAGGUGGGUUGGUAAGUCAGUGGUGAAAUCUCCGAGCUUAACUUGGAAACUGCCAUUGAUACUAUCAGUCUUGAAUAUUGUGGAGGUCAGCGGAAUAUGUCAUGUAGCGGUGAAAUGCUUAGAUAUGACAUAGAACACCAAUUGCGAAGGCAGCUUGCUACAGGGAUAUUGACACUGAGGCACGAAAGCGUGGGGAUCAAACAGG
rnacentral:rRNA from 1 species